rnacentral:rRNA from 1 species
GCUACAGGCUUAACACAUGCAAGUCGAGGGGCAGCACAAGGCAGCAAUGCUGAGGUGGCGACCGGCGCACGGGUGCGUAACGCGUAUCCAACCUUCCCGUUACUCAUGGAUAGCCUUCCGAAAGGGAGAUUAAUACAUGAUGGUGUUGAAAUUCCGCAUGUUAUUUCAACUAAAGAUUUAUCGGUAACGGAUGGGGAUGCGUGACAUUAGAUAGUAGGCGGGGUAACGGCCCACCUAGUCUACGAUGUCUAGGGGUUCUGAGAGGAAGGUCCCCCACACUGGAACUGAGACACGGUCCAGACUCCUACGGGAGGCAGCAGUGAGGAAUAUUGGUCAAUGGGCGCAAGCCUGAACCAGCCAAGUAGCGUGAAGGAUGACUGCCCUAUGGGUUGUAAACUUCUUUUAUAUGGGAACAAUGUGCUCUACGUGUAGAGUUUUGCGUGUACCAUAUGAAUAAGCAUCGGCUAACUCCGUGCCAGCAGCCGCGGUAAUACGGAGGAUGCAAGCGUUAUCCGGAUUUAUUGGGUUUAAAGGGAGCGUAGGUGGUUUGUUAAGCCAGCUGUGAAAUACUGUAGCUCAACUACAGCCGUGCAGUUGGAACUGGCAGACUUGAGUGCACAAGAGGAAGGUGGAAUUCGUGGUGUAGCGGUGAAAUGCUUAGAUAUCACG